rnacentral:piRNA from 1 species
GUGGUAGUGGGGGACUGCGUUCG